AGUUAAUUAGUUUAUAUUACAAAACAUUAGAUNGCAAAUCUAAAAAAAAUAAUUUAACUU
rnacentral:tRNA from 1 species